rnacentral:snoRNA from 1 species
UAUUGUGGUGGUUUCUGUAUCUGGCAGAUCUGUAACUGUAUCAGAGCGGCCUUAAACUACCACAAAGAUCAGAAAGGAGGACGAGUGUUCUGAGAACUCUUUCAGGCUUUUAAGUUUUCAGUUUUUUGUUCAACUCCUACAGAA